rnacentral:rRNA from 1 species
GGGCUGCAGGAUUUAACUGUGCGAAGGUAGCAUAAUAAUUAGUUUUUUAAUUAAGGAAUGGAAUGAACGGUUUAAUAAUUUAGGGUUGUUAAGAGUUUAAAUUUGUGAAAUUAAAUUUUAAGUGAAAAUGCUUAUUAGAUUCUAAAAGACGAUAAGACCCUAUAGAUCUUUAGGCUACAAAUUUUUUAGUCAAAAGGAUGCGCGUGAAUAAUUCUUAGGUUUUUACUGGGGUGGUAGGAGAAAUUAAUUAACUUCUUUAGAUGAGUUAACUUAAAAUCAGAAUAAAAAGAUACCUUAGGGAUAACAGCGUUAUAAAGUUAUAGAGAUCAUAUCAGCAACUUAUUUUGCGACCUCGAUGUUGAAUUAGGAUAAAGUUUUUUAGCAGUAUAAAUUUGUUUGGGUCUGUUCGACCCGUUAUUCCUACA